UCGAGCGGACAGAAGGGAGCUUGCUCCCGGAUGUUAGCGGCGGACGGGUGAGUAACACGUGGGUAACCUGCCUGUAAGACUGGGAUAACUCCGGGAAACCGGAGCUAAUACCGGAUAGUUCCUUGAACCGCAUGGUUCAAGGAUGAAAGACGGUUUCGGCUGUCACUUACAGAUGGACCCGCGGCGCAUUAGCUAGUUGGUGGGGUAAUGGCUCACCAAGGCGACGAUGCGUAGCCGACCUGAGAGGGUGAUCGGCCACACUGGGACUGAGACACGGCCCAGACUCCUACGGGAGGCAGCAGUAGGGAAUCUUCCGCAAUGGACGAAAGUCUGACGGAGCAACGCCGCGUGAGUGAUGAAGGUUUUCGGAUCGUAAAGCUCUGUUGUUAGGGAAGAACAAGUGCGAGAGUAACUGCUCGCACCUUGACGGUACCUAACCAGAAAGCCACGGCUAACUACGUGCCAGCAGCCGCGGUAAUACGUAGGUGGCAAGCGUUGUCCGGAAUUAUUGGGCGUAAAGGGCUCGCAGGCGGUUUCUUAAGUCUGAUGUGAAAGCCCCCGGCUCAACCGGGGAGGGUCAUUGGAAACUGGGAAACUUGAGUGCAGAAGAGGAGAGUGGAAUUCCACGUGUAGCGGUGAAAUGCGUAGAGAUGUGGAGGAACACCAGUGGCGAAGGCGACUCUCUGGUCUGUAACUGACGCUGAGGAGCGAAAGCGUGGGGAGCGAACAGGAUUAGAUACCCUGGUAGUCCACGCCGUAAACGAUGAGUGCUAAGUGUUAGGGGGUUUCCGCCCCUUAGUGCUGCAGCUAACGCAUUAAGCACUCCGCCUGGGGAGUACGGUCGC
rnacentral:rRNA from 1 species